GAUGAAGAACGCAGCGAAAUGCGAUAAGUAAUGUGAAUUGCAGAAUUCAGUGAAUCAUCGAAUCUUUGAACGCACAUUGCGCCCCCUGGUAUUCCGGGGGGCAUGCCUGUUCGAGCGUCAUUUCACCACUCAAGCCUCGCUUGGUAUUGGGCAACGCGGUCCGCCGCGUGCCUCAAAUCGACCGGCUGGGUCUUCUGUCCCCUAAGCGUUGUGGAAACUAUUCGCUAAAGGGUGCUCGGGAGGUUACGCCGUAAAACAAACCCAUUUCUAAGGUUGACCUCGGAUCAGGUAGGGAUACCCGCUGAACUUAAGCAUAUCAAUAAGCGGAGGA
rnacentral:misc_RNA from 1 species